rnacentral:rRNA from 1 species
UACAGAGGUCUCAAGCGUUGUUCGGAUUCAUUGGGCGUAAAGGGUGCGUAGGCGGCGCGGUAAGUCGGGUGUGAAAUCUCGGGGCUUAACUCCGAAACUGCAUUCGAUACUGCCGUGCUUGAGGACUGGAGAGGAGACUGGAAUUUACGGUGUAGCAGUGAAAUGCGUAGAUAUCGUAAGGAAGACCAGUGGCGAAGGCGGGGUCUCUGGACAGUUCCUGACGCUGAGGCACGAAGGUCAGGGGAGCAAACGGG